rnacentral:rRNA from 1 species
AGAGUUUGAUCCUGGCUCAGGAUGAACGCUGGCGGCGUGCAUAACACAUUCAAGUCGAACGGGACAAUGGGGGCUUGCCUCCAUUGUCUAGUGGCGGACGGGUGAGUAACGCGUGAGCAACCCUGCCUAUGCGAGGGGGAUAACACAGGGAAACUUGUGCUAAUACCGCAUAACAUAUACUUUUUGCAUGGAAGGUAUAUCAAAGAAAAAAUCGCGCAUAGAUGGGCUCGCGUCUGAUUAGA